UACAGAGGGUGCGAGCGUUGUUCGGAAUUACUGGGCGUAAAGCGCGCGCAGGCGGCUUCUUAAGUCCAUCGGUCAAAUGCCGGGGCUCAACCCCGAGCGUGCCGAGGAUACUGGGAGGCUGGAGACACGUAGAGGCAAGCGGAAUUCCGGGUGUAGCGGUGGAAUGCGUAGAGAUCCGGAAGAACACCGGAGGCGAAGGCGGCUUGCUGGGCGUGAUCGUGACGCUGAGGCGCGAAAAGCGUGGGGAGCGAACAGG
rnacentral:rRNA from 1 species